UACAGCCAUAUCAUAUUGAAACACCAGUUCCUAUACGAUCACUGAAGUUAAGCAACAUUGAGCCUGAUCAGUACCUAGAUGGGUGACCACAUAUCAGGUGCUGUAA